rfam:Gossypium raimondii chromosome 2, whole genome shotgun sequence.
AAUCCAUGCAUAGGACAUUUCUUAAGUAAAUCUUUGAACUUUUCCCACGCUUCAUAUAGUGUUUCAUCCUCUAGAUGCCUGAAGGAUGUUAUGUCAUUCCUCAGUUU